rnacentral:lncRNA from 1 species
UUUUUUUUUUUUUUUUUUUUUUUUUUUUUNGGCUACACACACAGCACACAGAAGUUCCUGGGCCAGGGAUUGAACCCACACUGUGGUAGUGACCCAAGCCAUGGCAGUGACAACACCAGAUCCUUAACCCUCUGUGCCACCAGGGAACUCCUCUAAAUAUGAAUUUAAGGUUAUUACUUCCACGAAAUACAUCUUGAAGACUAUCACAUAAAUAUUGAUAGGGAAUUUUUGUUAAAUCCAAAACACACUAAUUUUUAUGGAGUUUCUUUUUAUUCCUGUUUUAUUUAGAAAGAUGGUUUUAAUAUCCAAAGUUGGGUUUUCAUGCUUCUGUUAUGAUUUCUAAUUUUACCACUGUAUGAUCAGAGCAUGGUGCUAUGUAUCAAUCAGGUCAGGUAUACUGAGAAUUAAUUGGAGACCUAAUACACAGUGAUCCACUUACCAUUCAUCAUUUCAUCUAAUCAAGUGACCUAAAACCCAGAGACAAUCUCUAAACACAGCUGGCCAGGGUGAGUCUGAGACCUCAGAUAUCUGGGGUUGGCCUCCAAGUAUGGUGAUCCAGGCUCUGAUCAGCUGGGUCAGAUGGGUCCUGACCAACUAGAAUGAUGCCCAAAGUAUAAAAAUUCACGCUGGAGCUGCCAUUGCAGUGCAUGGAAAUGCCGACUGGUAUCCAUUAGGAUGCGGGUUCGAUCCCUGGCCUUACUCACUGGGUUAAGGACUGGGCGUUGCUGUGAGCUGUGGUGCAGGUCACAGACACAGCUCAGAUCCCGAGUUGCUGUGGUUGUGGCUCCGAUACCACCUCUGGAGCAGGAACUUCCAAAUGCUGCAGGUGUGGCUGGAAAAAAGCAAAACCACCAAAAAAACAAAAAAAUUAAAAACAAACUCACACCACUGCAUUCUCAGUGGUUUCCUGUAGCUCUUGGUAACCUUCCUGAACCCCGAGACUAGCCUGGGGGGCUGUCCAGAAAACACAUUCAGGGAAGGCCCGACUCUCCAAAGCCCUUUCAGUCUUCAGCCUCCAGCCUACCCGCUGCAGGUGCAGAGGAAACUGAGGCUUCUCAAGAGAGGCAGUCCAAUGCUGAGGUCAAACACAGCUAAGCCAGGGGCUGAGCAGCAGACAGCAUUUCUGCUUCCUCUGGGACCCUGUUUCUGUUUUCUGUUUGCUUGAUCUGGGUCUGAUGGGCCAGCUGCACAGUUUCUAAGAGAACCGCGGAGCCCCAAUGCGCACAGCUGCCCUCUCCACUAGGAGGACUUCACUCAGUCUGGCCCCAGAAGAAAGAUGGGAAAAGAGUGGUUCUAAAGGGACCAUUCCUCAAGAUGGGGCUGGUGCUUGGCCUUGGGCGUCUCAGCGCUCACGGUCCUCUGAGGCAAAGCUGCUGGGCAGAGAGGACCUGGGGGAACCCCUGAGCUGAGUUGCUCCCACUCUCUAGGCGGUGAGAAUGUGCUGCCUCUGCCUAGGGGCUGGUGUUCAGGGACCAUCUCCUGCGGUCCCUGCACAGGGUCCCUGCUCGCUCAAGGGCGGAAGCUGAGGCUCUCACAGCUCACCAGUCAAGGGCCCUUCACACCUGAACUAAAGCUACUGGAAAAGUCACACUGAACUUACCAGGAGAAACAGGAAGGAGGCAGAUACCCACGUUUUACAUACCAAUGAACACACAUUGCUUACCUGUGCAAUUUACAGAACAGCAAUGAGAUGGACCACUGAGGCAGGAGACAGACUGGGUCCAGGCUGAGCAACUGUAAUCUGUUCCCUGUGGGCAGAUAACCUCAAGAUAAAAGCUGCAUCCUGCUUGGAUAAAAGAGACCUUCUAUUUCUCUUUCUUGAGGUCAAGGAGACCUUCGGAACUACACACACGCAGACAGAUUCCUCUGGGUCAGAGGAAGGAGGGGCACCAGGCCACAGUACAUCCUGUCAACGUCCCAGAGACCCCUGUGCUAGAAUCCAUCCCGAGGGCAGGGCCCUGAGUCAGGCCACGGCCAGACAAGCAGGAUGAUUGGCCAGAGGAAGCCCAGAAGGGCUGCCCCCAGAGGAAUGAUUUAAACAACCUCCAAAGCACAUAUGGCUCUCUUCCUCUCUUGCUCUUUCUGUCUCUCUCUCUACACCUGCUGCCCACUGGGAGCCUGCCUGUGCCUUCUCCACAUCUAUCUUCUCUCUCUCUCUCUCUCUUUUUUUUUUGUCUUUUUGUCUUUUUGUCUUUUUAGGGCCGCAUCUGCGGCAUAUGGAGGUUCCCAGGCUAAGGGUCUAAUCGAAGCUAUUGCUGCUGGCCUACACCACAGCAAUGCCAGAUCCAAGCCACGUCUGUGACACCACAGCUCACGGCAACACCAGAUCCUUAACCCACUGAGUGAGGCCAGGGAUCAAACCUGGAACCUCAUGGUUUCUAGUCGGAUUCAUUGCCGCUGCACCACAACAGGAACUCCCCC